UACGUAGGGGGCUAGCGUUGUCCGGAUUUAUUGGGCGUAAAGAGCGUGUAGGCGGCCAGGUAGGUCUGCUGUGAAACUCGAGGCUCAACCUCGAGAUGUCGGCGGAAACCAUCUGGCUAGAGUCCGGAAGAGGAGAGUGGAAUUCCUGGUGUAGCGGUGAAAUGCGUAGACUAUCGUAAGGAAGACCAGUGGCGAAGGCGGGUCUCUGGACAGUUCCUGACGCUGAGGCACGAAGGUCAGGGGAGCA
rnacentral:rRNA from 1 species